UAUUUUAACUGUCUUUAUGGGGACACCUUUGGCUUAGUGAGGAUGGAAUCCUAGUCCUCUUAAGGAUAACCAUUGGAACUCGUAUGUAAUUUCUUCCUGAUAUAAUUUUUGUAUAUUUAUACAACUAAAAACUAUUGAUCCUGCUACUGUUUUUUUGCAAACUAUAAGGUGCACCGUAGCAGUUUUCCUAUAUAGUUCAUUAGGUACAUCCCCCAGUAAAAACCAUUAUAAAUCCUAAAAUAUUGUUUGUCCAAUUACUAAUUUACUAUUGGAGACCAUGUAUUUAAAUGGCCUAGCCUUAUACACUGUCCAUAAAAGAUGGAUAGAAACAUUCUCUAAACAGAAGUUGGUAAUAACCUCAGGUUUUUAUUUCAAAUAUUUCAAAAUAUGUGUUGGGCCCAAUACUUACAGAGUGCACUGUAGAUGUGUUAACUGGUUCCCGGAUUUGAAUUUGUGUGUCACAUGUCACUCUAGCAAAACGAGUUUCCCCUUGUUUUUGUUUUGUAAGACUGUUAUUCAGUCUCAAAGUGCCUAAUCUGUUUUGUAAUUUCAUAGCCUCAAAUGAUAAUUAUUUUUUAUUACAGGUAUGGUCAGAAAUUGACCAUGCAUCUCCUUCAACCAGCGAAUGUGUACCACCAAAAAGAACAGAGUGUGUAUUUGUUGCUUUCCAAAACAUGGACACAGAUUCCAGCUCUGCAGAAGAUGGGAAUGUGUCCCACUCCAAUCCCAAGCUGGACCCAGAAUCACAUCCAGUCACUCAACCAGCAGAAGAUUCUGUAAUACCCUCACCAACAGACACACAGGUAAUAAGAUUUUUUAUAACCAUUUAGUUUCAGAGCCGCACAGUAUACAUUAUAUUAUAGUAAUUAUUUCCCAGCAACAAUGUUGAUCAGAAUGUGUUUGACAGAACGAUGUGAAGAUGGCAUUAUUACAGGCUUUGUCCCAACCCUGUUAGGGCAUACUGGAUUUUUUGCACAUUUACGAUACGUAGUUACAUUUGUGAGUUAUGACAAAUUGUAAUAUAA